rnacentral:rRNA from 1 species
UUUGAUCCUGGCUCAGAUUGAACGCUGGCGGCAGGCCUAACACAUGCAAGUCGAACGGUAACAGGAAACAGCUUGCUGUUUCGCUGACGAGUGGCGGACGGGUGAGUAAUGUCUGGGAAACUGCCUGAUGGAGGGGGAUAACUACUGGAAACGGUAGCUAAUACCGCAUAACGUCGCAAGACCAAAGAGGGGGACCUUCGGGCCUCUUGCCAUCAGAUGUGCCCAGAUGGGAUUAGCUAGUAGGUGGGGUAACGGCUCACCUAGGCGACGAUCCCUAGCUGGUCUGAGAGGAUGACCAGCCACACUGGAACUGAGACACGGUCCAGACUCCUACGGGAGGCAGCAGAAGGG